ensembl:lncRNA
CAUGUUAAAACUCUGAGCUUCUGAAGUCUUAGUAAAACAAUAGCAUAGAAGGGAGAAAGAAAUCGGAAAUAUUUUCUGUAGGGCGCCCUCCAGUGGUGAACAACGGUACUGCACAUGUGCAGGUUUUUGCACCGGUGUCAGUUGGCCGUUAAUAUGCUAAUGAGGGGCGGUACCAUGCUUAGUGAGGUGAUUCAUUCUCCGCCAAUCCCUGGAGGACAAGUAGUGGGGUGAUAGUGGGAUGAUCCGUGCCCCACCAAUCCCUGAGAGAUUAUUAGCAUACUGUUGUGUAUAUAAGGCUCGUGGUCCCCUGUCCCUGUUCAAGAGAGCUGUACAGUAAAGGCUUGAUCGCAGAAGAAUCCUGUUGCCUCGCGUCGUUCUUACUGGCGAGAUGUUGGGCGCGCGACAAUUUUCUAUUUCUCAUGUACCUUGAACCCUUUUCUUGGACCUUUACAAUUUGCAUUUACAUACUUUAAGUCAUUUUCUUAGACCCUCAGGAACUUACUUAAGUGUCCAUAUCCUCAGAGCAUACUCCUCAAAACACUUCCUUACCCCCCUCAGAACAUGUAUAGACUUUUAACCUUUAUUAUUUCGUCAUUUAUCCGGGACACAAAGAGCUGUUACAGAGAACAGUCAUUGCAAGGCAAGUUCUUUUUAAAUAAAGGAACAGUGAAAAGUUACAUCUGAAACCUGUUUAUCCUUUAACAUGAAGCCCUUUAGCAUGACAAACCUGCCAGCCGUUCUCAGCAGGACAUCUGGCAGCUCCAGAAACAGCAAGGCCUGAUGUCUACGCAGGAAAUAAACUAUGGUAUAACCCGGAAGGCUAAAUCAAAGCUCGUUCCUGAGAAUGAAUUAUAAUUGUACUUAGCAUGAUUACAAGCAUAAUUUUGAGUACAUUAAAGAAUGUGAUCAUUUAUAAGAUGACUGAAUAUUAACUUCCGUAUCCUGAUCAUCCUUAAUAGUUUAUAAGAAGUUAGCAGCUUUAACAAGAUUAGGAUUUUACAGCUUUAUCCAUGUUAAGUUUUAGCCUCAGAAAUUAUAAUAUUUUGAAUGGAAGGUCUCUUAGUAUCAAAAUGAAACAUGUCGUAAAUGUAGCCCAUAGAGAGACUGGAAAAUUUAAAAACUAUAAUGUAACUUAUAGAGAGAUUGGAAACCUUGUUUCUUGUUUGUUUGUUUGUUUGUUUGUUUUCUUUUUCGGAGCCGGGAACCAAACCCAGGGCCUUGAGCUUGCUAGGCAAGCGCUCUACCACUGAGCUAAAUGCCCAACCCCCGUUUGUUUUUAUUCCUUUAUAGUACACCAUUACAGACUAUUAUACUUUCUUGUGUGACUCAGUUUACCCAGAUAGUAAAAGCUUAACGAAGUGAGCAAAGACAAAGAGGCUGGACAUACGUCUUAAUUUCAGUUACCAUUAAUCUGAGUACACAGAACUUAGCGACUUAUGAACCUUGUUUAUUAAUAUAUUUUACUUGUUAAACAUAUAUUUUUUUUAUUUAAAAUUUUCGGGAAAAAAUCAUCAUAUAAAAAUUGAUCCUAAUCCAAAAUAUCUUGGGGGUCUGUUGCUGUCUCCUUAGUUUAAAAAGAUGACCAGAAUUGACUUCAAAGUUACAUAUAAAUGUGCAAUAGCAAAUUAUGACUACCUAUGCGUAGAUUUUUAAUUAUUAACCUUUUUUGUUACAAGCUUUAAGCUGAAUUUUUCACUUGGAUUUUUAUAGGUCCUCCCUGCCCCCACCUUGCAAUGGCCUUACAGAUCCUGAGAGAAAGUUUGCAUUUUAGCAAGAGUUUGGAUGACUAUUAUCUUGAAUGAAGGAACAAUUUUUGUAAGCGAGAGCCAAGAAAGGGACGGAGUUAGAGAUGACGCUCCUGUGUGACGUUUCUGAAAAAACAUUUAAAUAAAACUGCUGUAUAUCUUUAGAUGUUGACGUCCCUGCACUGAAAAAGUUGAUACCCCAAGUAAUUUUUUUCUAUAGAUCCAUACCUUUGGAUUCCUCCUGCUCUCUCUGCGGUUAAUUGUCCUUCGGGACCCCUGUGGUGGAGUUAGGGACAGGCUGGAAGAAGCUGAGGAGGAGGGUGACCCCAUAGGAAGACCAGCAGUCUCCAUUAACCUGGACACCUGAGCUCUCUCAGAUACUGAGCCGCCAACCAGGCAGCCUACAGGAGCUGGUCCAAGGCCCCUGACACAUGUAUAGCAGAGGACUGCCUGAGCUGGCCUCAGUGAGAGAAGAUGCACCUAACCAUCGAGAGACUUGAGGCCCCAGGGAGUGAGGAGGCUGGCAGGAUGG